rnacentral:misc_RNA from 1 species
AUGAGAACUUGCCCUCCGGGGUAGAUCUCCCACCCUUUGUAUAUCUUACCUUUGUUGCUUUGUCGGGCCCGUCCCCCGGGACCGCCGGCUUCGGCUGGCCAGUGCUCGACAGAGGACCCAAACUCAUGUUUAAACGUCGUCUGAGUACUAUAUAAUAGUUA